CUUUCUACCCAGACAUCAGAGAGUACCAGCACAUUGCCUUCAGGAUCAACGUAGCCAUCGCUGCAUUGGGAGGUGUUCACGCCCUACAUGCAUGUGUCAUAUUUUUGGUGGACGUCUACGCCAUGAGUCCGAGCAUACCACACAACACAGUGCCCGGUUGGUCAUUCUAUCUCGUUUUCGCCAGCGGCCUCGUGGAGCUCAUCGGCGGCUGGCUUUGCAGCACCCUGGAGUACCACUUCACGGAGAUGGUGGAGCAUGUGGACCACGUGGACAUCUUUCAGAAGCACUGAACAUGUCAGCAACAUGAUAUCUCAGCAAGACAAGGAUAGCUCUGCUUAAAGAGUAAAAUCUCUACAUAAAAUAACACAUCUAUAAUUAAAAAAAACUCUGAACACAUG
rnacentral:sRNA from 1 species